AUGAACGCUGGCGGCGUGCCUAAUACAUGCAAGUCGAGCGAACAGACGAGGAGCUUGCUCCUCUGACGUUAGCGGCGGACGGGUGAGUAACACGUGGAUAACCUACCUAUAAGACUGGGAUAACUUCGGGAAACCGGAGCUAAUACCGGAUAAUAUAUUGAACCGCAUGGUUCAAUAGUGAAAGACGGUUUUGCUGUCACUUAUAGAUGGAUCCGCGCCGCAUUAGCUAGUUGGUAAGGUAACGGCUUACCAAGGCAACGAUGCGUAGCCGACCUGAGAGGGUGUUCGGCCACACUGGAACUGAGACACGGUCCAGACUCCUACGGGAGCCAGCAUUAGGGAUUCUUCCGCAAUGGGCGAAAGCCUGACGGAGCAACGCCGCGUGAGUGAUGAAGGUCUUCGGAUCGUAAAACUCUGUUAUUAGGGAAGAACAAAUGUGUAAGUAACUAUGCACGUCUUGACGGUACCUAAUCAGAAAGCCACGGCUAACUACGUG
rnacentral:rRNA from 1 species